UACACACCGCCCGUCACACCAUGAAAGUUGGUUUUUACCAGAAGUCACUGCGCUAACUUCGGAGGCAGGUGCCCAAGGUAAGAUCGAUGAUUGGGGUG
rnacentral:rRNA from 1 species